AUUGGACGCUGGCGGCAGGCCUAACACAUGCAAGUCGAGCGGCAGCGGGAAAGUAGCUUGCUACUUUUGCCGGCGAGCGGCGGACGGGUGAGUAAUGCCUGGGGAUCUGCCCAGUCGAGGGGGAUAACUACUGGAAGCGGUAGCUAAUACCGCAUACGCCCUACGGGGGAAAGCAGGGGACCUUCGGGCCUUGCGCGAUUGGAUGAACCCAGGUGGGAUUAGCCAGUUGGUGAGGUAAUGGCUCACCAAGGCGACGAUCCCUAGCUGGUCUGAGAGGAUGAUCAGCCACACUGGAACUGAGACACGGUCCAGACUCCUACGAGAGGCAGCAGUGGGGAAUAUUGCACAAUGGGGGAAACCCUGAUGCAGCCAUGCCGCGUGUGUGAAGAAGGCCUUCGGGUUGGAAAGCACUUUCAGCGAGGAGGAAAGGUCAGUAGCUAAUAUCUGCUGGCUGUGACGUUACUCGCAGAAGAAGCACCGGCUAACUCCGUGCCAGCCGCCGCGGUAACAC
rnacentral:rRNA from 1 species